rnacentral:rRNA from 1 species
CCUACGGGAGGCAGCAGUGAGGAAUAUUGGUCAAUGGCCGCAGGGCUGAACCAGCCAAGUCGCGUGAGGGAUGACGGUCCUAUGGAUUGUAAACCUCUUUUGUCAGGGAGCAAAGGGCGCCACGUGUGGCGCUUUGCGAGUACCUGAAGAAAAAGCAUCGGCUAACUCCGUGCCAGCAGCCGCGGUAAUACGGAGGAUGCGAGCGUUAUCCGGAUUUAUUGGGUUUAAAGGGUGCGCAGGCGGAAGGUCAAGUCAGCGGUAAAAUUUCGGGGCUCAACCCCGUCGUGCCGUUGAAACUGGCGUUCUUGAGUGAGCGAGAAGUAGGCGGAAUGCGUGGUGUAGCGGUGAAAUGCAUAGAUAUCACGCAGAACUCCGAUUGCGAAGGCAGCAUACCGGCGCUCAACUGACGCUCAUGCACGAAAGCGUGGGUAUCGAACAGGAUUAGAUACCCGAGUAGUC